rnacentral:rRNA from 1 species
UACGUAGGGUGCGAGCGUUGUCCGGAAUUAUUGGGCGUAAAGAGCUUGUAGGCGGUUUGUCGCGUCUGCCGUGAAAAUUCGAGGCUCAACCUCGAACUUGCGGUGGGUACGGGCAGACUAGAGUGUGGUAGGGGAGACUGGAAUUCCUGGUGUAGCGGUGGAAUGCGCAGAUAUCAGGAGGAACACCGAUGGCGAAGGCAGAUCUCUGGGCCGUAACUGACGCUGAGGAGCGAAAGCGUGGGGAGCGAACAGGA